rnacentral:rRNA from 1 species
CGAAUGCUGACAUAAGUAACGAUAAAGCGGGUGAAAAGCCCGCUCGCCGGAAGACCAAGGGUUCCUGUCCAACGUUAAUCGGGGCAGGGUGAGUCGACCCCUAAGGCGAGGCCGAAAGGCGUAGUCGAUGGGAAACAGGUUAAUAUUCCUGUACUUGGUGUUACUGCGAAGGGGGGACGGAGAAGGCUAUGUUGGCCGGGCGACGGUUGUCCCGGUUUAAGCGUGUAGGCUGGUUUUCCAGGCAAAUCCGGAAAAUCAAGGCUGAGGCGUGAUGACGAGGCACUACGGUGCUGAAGCAACAAAUGCCCUGCUUCCAGGAAAAGCCUCUAAGCAUCAGGUAACAUCAAAUCGUACCCCAAACCGACACAGGUGGUCAGGUAGAGA